UGCAGUUGUCCGGGGCGCUGCAAGGACUCUAUGGAGGCAUUUGGUGGACGCCGCAGGAACCCACAGCCAGAGAUGGAUGCCAAGAUGCACUCCUUCCUCUGUCUGGGCUCCCCAGUUCUGGUGGGAUCUCCGUGCCUUCUGCUGAUCCCAGAGUACUUCAAUUUGUUCUUUUAUUUUCAGGUUCUGUACCAUUUCAUGCUUCUGUGAUGUGUUUUUCUUCCUUUUGUUUUACAGGAUGGAAUUGUACGCCUGGUUGGAUCUACGAUGACCCAAAUGCAAUCUAGAUUGGGGACACCAGCACCAGAUGCUCUUGCACUUCCUGACCUCCCUGGGUGGCAGCAUUGGAAGUGCCUGGACCUUUGGAAAGGGCUAAGUGAUUCCUUCAUCAUUACCAGAAUGUAGUUUGUGUUCAACAGGUGACGGUGGAGAACUGUGGCCUUCUGUUCAGCGCAAAAAGUCUACUGAGGAUCUAGGUGGAUAGAACAGGAACGCAGAGCCAUAGUUGGAUGCCAAGAUGCACGCCUUCCUCUGUCUGGCAAGCUCUGCUGACCCCUGAGGUCAUUUCCAUGCUUGCAGAGGUCCUAUCUGUUUGGUGUCGGUUGUGCCUUGUGUUCACUUGGCUUUCACCUGGGGUUGUUGCCUUAUAAUAUUUUUCCCACCCUGUUUCCAAGCAGGAGCUCCCCUUGGCCUCCAUGUUUCGCUCUGGCCAGGCAGAUGUGGUGCGCCAAUGGUAUGCAGAGUGUAGAUCCCAAGCAGAACAACUGAGAGAGGCUGCCCUGGGUGAGACAGGAGAAGUGCCCCUUGGAGUGGGGGACGCCCCGCUGGCACUGCCUCUCGCAUCCACCGGCAGCACGUUCCUUCUCUCUCCUUGGCACCCAACUCUUUGCUGUCUCUCAGGCUCACCAAGUCCAAAUGUUCCCUGAUGGAGUCCAACUCCAGCUUGACCAACACUCACCCCUUAGAGCUCCCCAGCAUUGCUGGCUGUUGGUGCCUUCUCUCGCUCCAAGUCAGCACGGCUCUGUUCUUUGCCUUUUGGGUUCCAGAGCGUUUGCUACAGGUUAUGGAGUGUUUCUCUUCUCUCUCUUCUUGUCCUCCAUGUUGCCCGUUGGCGCCUUGGUAGAGUUUCAGUGACCCAAAUGCAGACUGCUCUGCAUUGACCAAUUGUGAUGCCAAGAGAAGAGGAUAGGAGACUCUGCCGUCAGAUGGCGUUGCCUGUUCUUCUCUCCCCAGUUUGCAGAGCUGGAUGUGACCUCAGCACUGGAUAAGGGUAUUGGAGACUUACCCACCACAUGGUGAUGCCUUCCCUGACCUCCUUGAUUGCAGUGUGGGAUGUGCCCUGAUCCUUGGAAAGGGGUGAGUGAUUCCUGCAUCCUCACUAGAAGGUAAUCUCUACUUACCUUUUCUUGUGUUCAUAAGGUGGCACUGGAGAGUUGUGACCCUGCUGAGCAGUGCAAGGACUCUACUGAGGCUCUUGGUGGACACAGCGAGAACCCACAUCCGUAAAUGGAUGCCAAUAUCUAUUCCUUCCUCUGUCUGGCAAGCUCUGUUGUCCCCUGAGGUCAUUCCAAUGCUUGCAGAGGUCCUAUGGGCUUGUUGUUGGUUUUCGCUUGUGCUCACUUGGCUUUCCAAGGGUGUUCCUCUUACUUGACACCCUUUCCCACUCUCCAUUUCCAAGCAGGAGCUCCCUUUGGCCUCCAUGUCUCGCUCUGGCCAGGCAGAUGUGGUGUGUCAAUGGAUCAAAGCCUUCAGAAUUCAACCAAAAGAAAUGGGGAGAGAGGCUGCCCUGGGUGAGACAGGAGAAGUGCCCCUUGAAGCGGGGGACGCCCCGCUGGCGCUGCCUCUCGCAUCCACCGGCAGCACGUUCCUUCUCUCUCCUUGGCACCCGACGCUUUGCCGUCUCCCAGGGCUCACCAAGUCCAAAUGUUCCCUGAUGGAGUCCAACUCCAGCUUGACCAUCACUCACCCGGUCUGUCCCGCACCAGCUGGCUUAGGGCUCCUCAGUUCUGAUGGGAUCUCAGUGCCUUCUGUCCCUCCCAGUCAGUACAGUUCUGUUCUUUGCUUUUUGGGUUCCAGAGCGUUUGCUACAGGUUAUGGAGUGUUUCUCUUCUCUCUCUUCUUGUCUUCCAUGUUGCCUGUUGGCGCCUCGGUGGAGUUUCAGUGACCCAAAUGCAGACUGCUCUGCGUUGCCCAAGCGUGAUGCCAAGAGAAGAGGUAGGCACCACAACAGGCUGCUGGAUAGAAGACUCUGCCGUCAGAUGGCGUUGCCUGUUCUUCUCUCCCCAGUUUGCAGAGCUGGAUGUGACCUCAGCACUGGAUAAGGGGUAAGUGAUUCCUUCAUCCUGACCAGAAGGUAAUCUCUACUUGCCUUGUGCUGUGUGGAGCAGGUUGCAGGGGAGAAGUGCAGUUGUCCGGGGUGCUGCAAGGACUCUAUGGAGGCAUUUGGUGGACGCCGCAGGAACCCACAGCCAGAGAUGGAUGCCAAGAUGCACUCCUUCCUCUGUCUGGCAAGCUCUGCUGACCUGUGAGGUCGUUCCCACGCUUGCAGAGGUCCUACGGGCUUGGUGUUGGUUGUCGCUUGUGCUCACCUUGCUGUCACCGGGUGUUCUUCCUUUGGCCAUCUUUAGGGCUCCCCAGUUCUGGUGGGAUCUCCGUGCCUUCUGCUUAUCCCAGAGAACAUGGGUUUGUUCUCUUAUAUCCAGGUUCAGUAUGUUUUCCUGUUGUUAUGUGAUGUUUGCCUUAGUUUUUUUAUUUUUUAUUUUUUUUCCGGGCUGCUUAUUGAUCCAUCCUGGGUCUGCAAUAAACCAAAUGAUUUCUGUAUUGGAGACUUACCCACCACAUGGUGAUGCCUUCCCUGACCUCCUUGAUUGCAGUGUGGGAUGUGCCCUGAUCCUUGGAAAGGGGUGAGUGAUUCCUGCAUCCUCACUAGAAGGUAAUCUCUACUUACCUUUUCUUGUGUUCAUAAGGUGGCACUGGAGAGUUGUGACCCUGCUGAGCAGUGCAAGGACUCUACUGAGGCUCUUGGUGGACUCAGCAAGAACCCACACCCGUAGAUGGAUGCCAAUAUCUAUUCCUUCCUCUGUCUGGCAAGCUCUGUUGUCCCCUGAGGUCGUUCCCAUGCUUGCAGAGGUCCUAUGGACUUGUUGGUUUUCGCUUGUGCUCACUGGGCUUAUCAAGGGUGUUCCUCUUGCUUGACACCACCUUUCCCACUCUCCAUUUCCAAGCAGGAGCUCCCUUUGGCCUCCAUGUCUCGCUCUGGCCAGGCAGAUGUGGUGUGUCAAUGGAUCAAAGCCUUCAGAAUCCAACCAAAAGAAAUGGGGAGAGAGGCUGCCCUGGGUGAGACAGGAGAAGUGCCCCUUGAAGCGGGGGACGCCCCGCUGGCACUGCCUCUCACAUCCAUCAGCAGCACAUUCCUUUUCUCUCCUUGCCACCUGGCGCUUUGCAAUCUCCCUGUGCUUGCCAAGUCCAAAUGUUCCCUGAUGGAGUCCAACUCCGGCUCGACCAUCACUCACCUGGUCUGUCCCCACACCAGCUGGCUUAGGGCUCUCCAGUACUGCUGGAUGUCAGUGCCUUCUGUUGCUCCCUGUCAACAUGGUGGUGUUCUUUCUUUUUAGGUUCAGUAACGUGUCUUCUUGUUAUGCGGUGGUACUCUUCUCUGUUUUCUUGUGUUUCAUGUUGCCUGUCAAUGCCUCUUUGGAGAUACACCAAGUGAAAUGUAAACUGAUGUUCUUUGACCCAGUGUGAUGGAAAAUGAAGAUGUAGGCUCCACUACAGCUAUCGUUCGAAACGGGAUGGACCAUUUUGACUAUUUGUCAACGCCCACCUGGCAAUCUGAAUUUAGGAGCCGCUUUCAUGGACGUGUCGCUGCAGGGCAAAGAAGGCCUCAAAACUUCAGUGGACCUGUACCCCCAAGAGAGCUCUGAAACUUAUGUUAAGAAAAUAAAUGUCUUAAUAUUUUUCUGUCUUCUAUAGUUUUAACUGUUGCUUUAGCUUGGCUGGAAAAUAGGUAUGUAAAGCUAAUUGAAAAUCUUGCUGAAGGAAGGUUUUAGUGUUUCAGACUGUUGGGUUUGUAUGACUCUCCCAAGAAGUGUAGGAAGUGUGCCAAUUUACGCAGCAGUUGCACUAAAUUGGACAAUACUGAAUUAUGUAACAAAUCAGAUGGAAAACGGUGGAAAUUGUAAAUGCGUGGAUGAAAAUCAGAGUAAGGUCGUUGAUUUGAUUUUUUUUUUUUUUGUCAUUAUUACUAAUACCUGAACCAUUUUUAUAGGCAGGAAUGACAACAGUGCAAACCAUAUAAACUUUGGGUGCAGGAACCUGUCAGGUGUAGGGUGUUGUUGGGAAUAUGGCAAUUUUGGGAUGCUUACGAGCUAUAAUGAGACUGCUCGAUGACAGCAAGGCAGGUACCAUGAUCCUAGGGCCACUAACAAUACAGUGCGGUCUGGAGAUAAAGAUAUAUUUGCUAUAGCGGGCAUGGGGACUGCAUCAAUGUAGCAUAGGCAAAAACACUGUCAGCUUCCCUUUGGGUAUUGGUGGAUGUGUGGAAAUAGAUACGCAUGUGAAAUUCUCCCAUUGAAUUGGACUGGGACAUGCACAGCAGGUUAUCUGAUGCCUCACACAAGUAUCUACACUUGCAUAGAGCCACCAUGAGGAUUUUUAAGAGCUAUGCAGGUAUAGACUAAGAGAGGGAAUACUCCACUAGUUGAAAGGACUAUGGGAUUCCAUAGUUUUAUUUGAUGGGUACUUUCAGCUGUCAGAGUCACUGAACUGGAACAAGCAGUUGUGAAUGUAUCAGUCACUAUGGAAAGAAUUGAGAACCUAAGUUUAGAAGCCAUCCAGGGUCUUCAGACAGAGAUCUCAUGCUGUAGUAAAUCAGUCUUGCAGAAUAGAAUGGCCCUCGGCCUUCUUACCACAAAGGCAUGAGGGGUCUCUAUGAUUAUUAACCGGUCACUGCGCUUACAUGGACUGAAAUGUACACGUAGAGAGUGAUUUAUAGGCCAUUUGGAGAGGCAUUUGAGAACUACACCAAGUCUCCUUACAUGACCCUUCUGCUGGAAUCAUGG
ensembl:lncRNA